rnacentral:lncRNA from 1 species
GAAUACAUCUGAGAGAUGAAUUGUUUAAUUGAUCUGACAGUCUUUAGGCAACCUGUGAAAAAAGGAUCUGAUUGACUUCCCUCUGGGAAAACCUGCCCUUUUUCCACCUUUCAUCAUAGUUAAGCAAACAGACAGACAAACAAACAAAACAUAAAUCUAGGAAGCUGUGAUGAAAAAGGAGCUGCUGGCAGCAUGCAGGCAGAGGCAAAAGCUAAACAGAGCUGAUUGGAAAAUGACUUUCUUUCUGUGGAUAGAGUGUGAGGCUUUUUUAUUACUUGGAAGAUGGAGGAAUCUCAUUGGCUUGGGGAAAAGAGAAAGUUUGAGCAGGAUCAAGAGCAGAGGUCAUAUAGAUGGAAAGAAACGAAGGUAGGAAAUGUCUAAAGUUUUGUCUGUGCAACAACCAUCCAGUAGCUAGAGACAUCCUUUGUCUCCUCUUAAGGAGUAUAAACCAGGCUUAAAUCCUUUUUAAGCCAGAGAGAACUAGAGUAGACUGGAGGGUGGAAAGAUAAACGAUGGCCUGGAUGUACAGGAGAUGGCAUAUCGAUGCAAAUGACCCAAAAAAUAGGGCCAGAUUUAAUAACUAGUUAAUGAGCAUAAUUCAAACUAAUUGACCAGAAGAGAAGACCCUGGAUGCACUAGGCAGGACCUUCCAAGGGUAGAAGGAAAUGAGCAGAGGAGACAUUAGUUCUCAAGAUGAAGAACCAGAGAGAACUCUGGUGGUGAGCCACAGAGUUAAUGCCAGGAAAGCCUGAAGAUAGUAUUCUUUGGGAUGCAGAUUAGGGAUUGUUUUUUCCAGGGGCCAGAUAUCAGAGUUGAAUCUAAAUCAAAAAUGAAUGAAACAUGUAUUGAUCAAUUGCUUUGUGCCCAUCACUGUGCUGGGUAUUGAAGAUAGAGUGGGGGCGGGGGGCAAGACAACCUAACUCCCGCCCUCCUGGGGCUUACAAUUCAGAAGGAGGUGGAGCAAAUUAAAAAGUUGUAGGCCAGGUGCAGUGGCUCAUGCUUGUAAUGUUAGUGCCUUAGGAGGCUGAGGAAGGAGGAUCACUCGAGGCCAGGAAUUUGAGACCAGCCUGGGCAACAGAGCAAGACAUUGUCUGUACAAAAAAUAAAUACAUAACAUAAAAAAUUAGCUGGGUAUGAUAGCGAGGGCCUGUAGUCCCAGCAACCUGGGAGGCUGAGGCCAGAAGAUUGCUUAAGCCCAGGGAUUUGAGGCUGCAGUGAGCUAUGAUUACAUCACUGAACUCCAGCCUGGGCAACAGAGUGAGAGACCAUCUCUAAGAUUAAUAGUAAUAAUAAUAAUAGUAAUAAUAAUAAUAAUAAUAGUAAUAAUAAUAAUAAAUAAAAAGUUGCAAGUGCUAAGUGGUACAGGGUAUCAUGGCAACACAUAGGCCAUACCUGACCCAGUAGCUGGGAGUGAGGUUAGGGGAAUAUUUCUGGAGGAAAUUACGUCGAAGCUGAGAGCUGAAGGACAAGUUGGAGUUAGGCAAUCAAGGAACAAGGAAGAACAUUCCAGGCCAAGUGAGCAGGAUGUGGGAAAGCCUGGGGGAUAGGUGAGAAAGAGCUUCAGAGUUAAGGAUUCAGAAAUCUGAAAGUAGGUUAACACUACACUCCAGGCACUUUUUGCAGGUAGUGAGUUUGCAUGAGUUUGAGUCUGUAGAAAAAAGUUCAAGUCUUGACAAAGUCACCAGGUGAACAUUUCUUGAUGUUUGUUCCUUGGGAUGCAAGGGGUGGGGCAAUACAAUGGCAUUGAGGGGGUCCCCAGGACUUUGGUGGAGAACCCAGCAAGCCUGUCGGCAGGGAGGUCAGCGGGACGGUGGAGCAGGUUUUGUGUGAUUCUCUGGAUGCUUGGGCCGUGGCCAGUAGACAACAUGCUGCCAAGUUCAGAAGAAAAGAAUCAUACUGCAUAGGAAAGUGAAUCUUGCACAUGGCCAGAAAAAGGAAAGACAAUUUAGUUUUAUAUGUUACACUUUAAUAAUAGUCGUUUGGAACUUCAUAAUGAAAUUUGUGAAAAAAGUUCAUUUCCAGAAGAAUAAUCUCUAACUGGUAUGCAAUGCCGCAGUAGGAUUUGUCCAGGUUUUAAUUUUAGUUUGAAUAAAUAAUGUAAGAUACUAGCCUGGGUGAGAUAAA